rnacentral:tRNA from 1 species
GGCGAAGUGGUUAACGCAUCGGAUUGUGGUUCCGACAUUCGUGGGUUCGAUUCCCAUCACCC